CCCGAUGUGACAGAAAAUGUGAUAGAUUUAAAAUCUAUUUAUGGUUUAACCCUUCGGUA
rnacentral:tRNA from 1 species